rnacentral:rRNA from 1 species
GACGAAGGGGGCUAGCGUUGUUCGGAAUUACUGGGCGUAAAGCGCACGUAGGCGGAUUGGAAAGUUGGGGGUGAAAUCCCGGGGCUCAACCCCGGAACUGCCUUCAAAACUCCCAGUCUGGAGGUCGAGAGAGGUGAGUGGAAUUCCGAGUGUAGAGGUGAAAUUCGUAGAUAUUCGGAGGAACACCAGUGGCGAAGGCGGCUCACUGGCUCGAUACUGACGCUGAGGUGCGAAAGCGUGGGGAGCAAACAGG